rnacentral:pre_miRNA from 1 species
GUAGUAUUCCCUCCGUCCCAAAAUUCUUGUCUUACAUUUGUUUAGAUACGGAUGUAUCUAACACUAAAAUGUAACUAGAUACAUCCGUAUUUAGAUAAAUUUAAGACAAGAAUUUUGGGACGGAGGGAGUACAAA